CUGCAUUCCCGAUUUCGAGAGGGGAGGGAAAAAGUGUUAAAUCCACACUCUCGAGCUUUGCGAGGUUAUGAUUACUUGGGCCUAUCAAGAAUAACCUUCCCACUUUAUCAAGCACUGUGACAAACCCGCCACAAUCAGACAGUAGCCAUGGCAACCAGGACAAGCUUUGGCGCCUCACAAAGCCCUGAGUGGCAGAAUGGAGUCCUUUUAUUAGUGACUGUGCCCUGGCCGGCCGGGUUCUCUCCGGCGGGCACCCAGCACAGCAAGACAAUGGACAAAACCCCUGCUGAAGCCUGCCUGACCUGCUCAGACAGGCCUCGCAGGGCGGCCUCUAUUUUGCUCUGUUUUAUUUCAUUCUGUCACUAUCUUAAAGAGAAAGACAGCAGGAUUUCUCCCCAACAGUUUUUCCCCUCAGGGUAGGGGAUGUCAGCCAGAGGGUGCAGAAGCAGAAAGACUGAAAGGAAAAGAGAAAACACAACAAAACAUAACCCUGCUUGACAGAGCUGACGGUUCAAUCUCAAGUGUUAAUGUCUGGGCGUCACGUGUGGUCGCAAAUCAACUAAGGAAACAGACAUUGAACACAACCUUCCCUUACCCUCCAAAACUCGUGACAACAGAAUGCCGAGUUUACUAAGAAAUGCCUCUGUCUUUUAAUCAUUUUUAAAGACCUUCUGUGCAGGCAAGUAAUCAGGAGGUAACACACUG